AGAUAUGCUCUGGACAAAUGAUUUCUACAGACAAAUGGAUGGACAAGGUGAUUCCAGUACAACUAGCUUGGAGCAGAGGAGUGGUGGUGGUGGUGGUGGAUAGUAAAGAAUUCUAAUUCUACUACCCACACCUAAGCUUGGAGAGACAUAAUUUCCACUGUCGUCUGGAGAUAGGAUGGGCAUCCUCAGUUUAAUGCUGCGAGAGUUGACAAUGGAAACAUAUUGCGAUGGAAUCAUUUCGUUUCUGUUCCUUGUGAAGUACAUAGACCGGGAAUCCUCGUCUAAUGGCUUGGUCAGAUUACAGGACAGGACCAGCUCAUCACCAAUGAAGACAUAGGGAUCGUUGGGAACAACCACUACAGAAACAACAAGUUUCUCAUUGUACUUUUGUGAAAAGUAAAUUUGUCAAAACAGCUCUGAAAAUCAGAUAGCUGCAGAUCUGUACCAAUAUUUUCACAGUGAGCUACAGAUCUGCAGCUAGAACUAUCCAUAAAAAAAAUAAAAAACAAGAGGCCCAUGGGCCACAUCGCUAACCUGAGUCACCUUGGCCCAUAUCCAUACAUAUGCACUAUGUCAGGAAGCUUCCAUGUAAAAUUGCACUUUCCUGAGGCAGUGGUUCUUGAAAAGAUCUCUUUCACGUAAAUUUCAGCUCCUCUGGCCCAGUGGUUCUCGAGAAGAUUUUUAAAUGACCCCACCCUAUUUUUGAGAUUAUCUCCCCUUUAAAGGGGGCAUGGGCCUUCAUCUGAACAAAGUUAAAAGCCCUUCUCCCAAGUAUAUGCUUUGUGCAAAGUUUGGUUGAAAAUGGCCCAGUGGUUCUGGAGAUGAAAAUGUGAAAAGUUUACGCCGACGGCAACGAUGCCGACAAACAACGGACAAAUUUUGAUCAGAAAAGCUCACUUGGCUCAGGUGAGCUAAAAAGUUAAAGGUGCUGAUUUUAUCAUGUGUAAGUGUUUAUUUAAGAAAUGAAUUUCAUUUUUGAAAAUACAUGAGAGUAUGAACUGCAAUGCUUCAUACUGGCAUAUAUUUUAUGAAACAUGGCAAAGUUUAGCCACAAUGAAGUGUUGCAGUUCAUAUCCUCAUGUAUUUACAACAACAACAAAAAAUUCUGCUUUCUUUUCUGUCAGAAUUCCCUGCCAUUAAACAGAUCCAUGACAGAUGUACUAUAUUCACCAAAAUUCAUACAUGCAUAGUCAAUAAUAUCAAUCAAGUGAUCAUCAGGGGUACCCUUCAAUUGAAAUAGCUCCCUAUCUCUCCAUCUGUUUUUACACCAGGCAAUUAAGAAAGCCCAGCAUAAGGUACUGUCAAUAAACUACACCCAAGCCUACGUUAAGAGCUGUUUUCAUGUAAUAAAAUUAGCCAAACCAAAA